UAUACACCAAUAUUUCGAAAAUAUUUUUGUGUGAAAAAAAAAAAGAAUAUGGAGAGGAAAAUUUUUGCUCUUUUGUUUCUCUUUUUCAUUUUGUUUACUUCACAAACGGCGUUCCGAGGGGCGGAGGGGAGAGUGUGCAUUUCGCAGAGCCACGGGUUCAAGGGUCCAUGCGGGCAUGACCACAACUGCGCGCUCGUUUGCCGUAACGAAGGCUUCUCUGGGGGAGACUGCAUUGGAGUUUUUAUUAGAAAGUGUUACUGCACUAAGAAUUGUUAAUUAAUUAAUUAGUGUCAUGAAAAUGACACUUAGUUAAUUUAUUAGUUCAUUAAUGCUUCUCUUUAGUCUUGUUUUAGGGAAUAAAAUUGUGUUGUACUAGUGUUUUUAGAGGGCAUUAUUAGUAUGUUUAUGAUGCUUGUAAUCUCUUAAUUUAGUAAUUCAAGUUUCUUUUGAUA